GAUGAACGCUGGCGGCGUGCCUAAUACAUGCAAGUCGAGCGAACGGACGAGAAGCUUGCUUCUCUGAUGUUAGCGGCGGACGGGUGAGUAACACGUGGAUAACCUACCUAUAAGACUGGGAUAACUUCGGGAAACCGGAGCUAAUACCGGAUAAUAUUUUGAACCGCAUGGUUCAAAAGUGAAAGACGGUCUUGCUGUCACUUAUAGAUGGAUCCGCGCUGCAUUAGCUAGUUGGUAAGGUAACGGCUUACCAAGGCAACGAUGCAUAGCCGACCUGAGAGGGUGAUCGGCCACACUGGAACUGAGACACGGUCCAGACUCCUACGGGAGGCAGCAGUAGGGAAUCUUCCGCAAUGGGCGAAAGCCUGACGGAGCAACGCCGCGUGAGUGAUGAAGGUCUUCGGAUCGUAAAACUCUGUUAUUAGGGAAGAACAUAUGUGUAAGUAACUGUGCACAUCUUGACGGUACCUAAUCAGAAAGCCACGGCUAACUACGUGCCAGCAGCCGCGGUAAUACGUAGGUGGCAAGCGUUAUCCGGAAUUAUUGGGCGUAAAGCGCGCGUAGGCGGUUUUUUAGUCUGAUGUGAAAGCCCACGGCUCAACCGUGGGGGGUCAUUGGAAACUGGAAAACUUGAGUGCAGAAGAGGAAAGUGGAAUUCCAUGUGUAGCGGUGAAAUGCGCAGAGAUAUGGAGGAACACCAGUGGCGAAGGCGACUUUCUGGUCUGUAACUGACGCUGAUGUGCGAAAGCGUGGGGAUCAAACAGGAUUAGAUACCCUGGUAGUCCACGCCGUAAACGAUGAGUGCUAAGUGUUAGGGGGUUUCCGCCCCUUAGUGCUGCAGCUAACGCAUUAAGCACUCCGCCUGGGGAGUACGACCGCAAGGUUGAAACUCAAAGGAAUUGACGGGGACCCGCACAAGCGGUGGAGCAUGUGGUUUAAUUCGAAGCAACGCGAAGAACCUUACCAAAUCUUGACAUCCUUUGACAACUCUAGAGAUAGAGCCUUCCCCUUCGGGGGACAAAGUGACAGGUGGUGCAUGGUUGUCGUCAGCUCGUGUCGUGAGAUGUUGGGUUAAGUCCCGCAACGAGCGCAACCCUUAAGCUUAGUUGCCAUCAUUAAGUUGGGCACUCUAAGUUGACUGCCGGUGACAAACCGGAGGAAGGUGGGGAUGACGUCAAAUCAUCAUGCCCCUUAUGAUUUGGGCUACACACGUGCUACAAUGGACAAUACAAAGGGCAGCGAAACCGCGAGGUCAAGCAAAUCCCAUAAAGUUGUUCUCAGUUCGGAUUGUAGUCUGCAACUCGACUACAUGAAGCUGGAAUCGCUAGUAAUCGUAGAUCAGCAUGCUACGGUGAAUACGUUCCCGGGUCU
rnacentral:rRNA from 1 species